GACGAACGCUGGCGGCGUGCUUAACACAUGCAAGUCGAACGGAAAGGCCCUGCUUUUGUGGGGUGCUCGAGUGGCGAACGGGUGAGUAACACGUGAGUAACCUGCCCUUGACUUUGGUAUAACUUCAGGAAACUGGGGCUAAUACCGGAUAGGAGCUCCUGCUGCAUGGUGGGGGUUGGAAAGUUUCGGCGGUUGGGGCUGGACUCGCGGCUUAUCAGCUUGUUGGUGGGGUAGUGGCUUACCAAGGCUUUGACGGGUAGCCGGCAUGAGAGGGUGACCGGCCACAUUGGGACUGAGGUACGGCCCAGAGGCCUACGGGAGGCAGCAGUGGGGAAUAUUGUACAAUGGGAGGAAGCCUGAUGCAGAAACGCCGCGUGCGGGAUGACGGCCUUCGGGUUGUAAACCGCUUUAGCCUGUGACGAAGCGUGAGUGACGGUAAUGGGUAAAGAAGCACCGGCUAACUACGUG
rnacentral:rRNA from 1 species